rnacentral:rRNA from 1 species
CCUACGUGUGGCAGCAGUCGAGAAUCAUUCACAAUGGGGGAAACCCUGAUGGUGCGACGCCGCGUGGGGGAAUGCAGGUCUUCGGAUUGUAAACCCCUGUCAUGUGGGAGCAAAUUAAAAAGAUAGUACCACAAUAGGAAGAGACGGCUAACGCUGUGCCAGCAGCCGCGGUACUACAGAGGUCUCAAGCGUUGUUCGGAAUCACUUGGCGUAAAGCGUGCGUAGGCUGUUUCGUAAGUCGUGUGUGAAAGGCGCGGGCUCAACCCGCGGACUGCACAUGAUACUGCGAGACUAGAGUAUUGGGGGGGGAACCGGAAUUCUCGGUGUAGCAGUGAAAUGCGUAGAUAUCGAGAGGAACACUCGUGGCGAAGGCGGGUUCCUGGACAUUAACUGACGCUGAGGCACGAAGGCCAGGGGAGCGAAAGGGAUUAGAUACCCGAGUAGUC